rnacentral:rRNA from 1 species
GAUGAACGCUAGCGGCAGGCCUAACACAUGCAAGUCGAGGGGUAACGUGAGUGCUUGCACUUGACGACGACCGGCGCACGGGUGCGGAACGCGUAUGGAACCUACCUUUAUCAGGGGGAUAGCCCAUGGAAACGUGGAUUAAUACCCCAUAGUAUUACAUCAUUGCAUGAUGAUUUAAUUAAAGAAUUUCGGAUAGAGAUGGCCAUGCGUAUCAUUAGCUAGUAGGCGAGGUAACGGCUCACCUAGGCGACGAUGAUUAGGGGUCCUGAGAGGGAGAUCCCCCACACUGGUACUGAGACACGGACCAGACUCCUACGGGAGGCAGCAGUGAGGAAUAUUGGGCAAUGGAGGCAACUCUGACCCAGCCAUGCCGCGUGCAGGAAGACGGCCCUAUGGGUUGUAAACUGCUUUUAUACAGGAAGAACACCACCCACGUGUGGGUGACUGACGGUACUGUAAGAAUAAGGACCGGCUAACUCCGUGCCAGCCGCCGCCGUAACAC